UACGUAGGGUCCGAGCGUUGUCCGGAAUUACUGGGCGUAAAGAGCUCGUAGGUGGUUUGUCGCGUUGUUCGUGAAAACUCACAGCUCAACUGUGGGCGUGCGGGCGAUACGGGCAGACUUGAGUACUGCAGGGGAGACUGGAAUUCCUGGUGUAGCGGUGAAAUGCGCAGAUAUCAGGAGGAACACCAGUGGCGAAGGCGGUGCUCUGGGCCGGAACUGACGCUGAGGAGCGAAAGCGUGGGGAGCAAACAGG
rnacentral:rRNA from 1 species